rnacentral:pre_miRNA from 1 species
CUGAACCGCCGCCCUUGCCGCCGGUGCCACCUUGGCCGCCGGAUCCGGCGGCCAAGGUGGCACCGGCGGCAAGGGCGGCGGUUCAG